rnacentral:rRNA from 1 species
CGCGUAGGCGGCUUGUUAAGUGCAGGGUGAAAUCUCGAGGGCUCAACCCCGAAACUGCCCCGCAUACUGGCAAGCUAGAGGGUCGAAGAGGUCUGUGGAAUUCCUGGUGUAGCGGUGAAAUGCGUAGAUAUCAGGAGGAACACCCAUGGCGAAGGCAGCAGACUGGUCGACAUCUGACGCUGAGGCGCGAAAGCGUGGGUAGCAAACAGGAUUAGAUACCCUGGUAGUCCACGCCCUAAACGAUGGACGCUAGGCGUGAGGGGUAUCGACCCCCCCUCGUGCCGCAGCCACGCAUUAAGCGUCCCGCCUGGGGAGUACGGCCGCAAGGUUGAA